GCUGCAGCGGGAGGGUGGCCCUCACUGGGCAGACAGGAUCCAGUGGGGUCCUGCUGGUUAGCAACCUCAAUGAGGAGAUGGUUACGCCCCAAAGUCUGUUUACCCUCUUCGGAGUGUAUGGUGAUGUCCAGAGGGUGAAAAUUCUUUACAACA